rnacentral:rRNA from 1 species
UACAGAGGUCUCAAGCGUUGUUCGGAUUCAUUGGGCGUAAAGGGUGUGUAGGUGGCGCACUAAGUCGGGUGUGAAAUUUCGGAGCUUAACUCCGAAACUGCAUUCGAUACUGGCGUGCUUGAGGACUGGAGAGGAGACUGGAAUUCAUGGUGUAGCAGUGAAAUGCGUAGAGAUCAUGAGGAAGACCAGUGGCGAAGGCGGGUCUCUGGACAGUUCCUGACACUGAGACACGAAGGCCAGGGGAGCAAACGGG